GUGCUUGCUUCAGCAACACAUAUACUAGAAUUGGAAUGAUGCAGAGAAGACCAGCAUGGCCCCUGCACAAGGAUAAUAUACAAAUUCAUGAAGCAUUCAUAUUUUUA
ensembl:snRNA U6 U6 spliceosomal RNA